UACGUAGGUGGCAAGCGUUAUCCGGAAUUAUUGGGCGUAAAGCGCGCGCAGGCGGUCCUUUAAGUCCGAUGUGAAAGCCCACGGCUCAACCGUGGAGGGUCAUUGGAAACUGGGGGACUUGAGUGCAGAAGAGGAAAGCGGAAUUCCACGUGUAGCGGUGAAAUGCGUAGAGAUGUGGAGGAACACCAGUGGCGAAGGCGGCUUUCUGGUCUGUAACUGACGCUGAGGCGCGAAAGCGUGGGGAGCAAACAGG
rnacentral:rRNA from 1 species